UAGAGAAGUUUUUGAAAAAAU
rnacentral:piRNA from 1 species